rnacentral:rRNA from 1 species
UACAGAGGUCUCAAGCGUUGUUCGGAUUUAUUGGGCGUAAAGGGCGCGUAGGCGGCGGGGUAAGUCGGGUGUGAAAUCUCAGGGCUCAACCCUGAAACUGCACUUGAUACUGCUCUGCUUGAGGACUGGAGAGGAGACUGGAAUUCACGGUGUAGCAGUGAAAUGCGUAGAUAUCGUGAGGAAGACCAGUGGCGAAGGCGGGUCUCUGGGCCGAAAUUGACGCUGAGGAGCGAAAGCGUGGGGAGCGAACAGG